GGAAAUAGGCGCUUCCGCAUAAUCGGUAUGUGUCGCGCACUAAACUGUUUACGUAUGCACCGGUUAACAAAAUCGAUGUGUUCCGGCACUCGCAGUCAGAAAGAAGCUGUGUGUUCACUGUUGGCACAUUGAAUGAUUGGAUAAAUAAUGCUCUAUUGGAUAAAUACGUAAAGUUCAUUGGACAGCUGUGAUUGUGGUGUGGACAGCUAAGAUUGUGUUUUGGACAGCUGAGAUUGUGACUUGGACAGCUGAGAUUGUGGUGUGGACAGCUGAGAUUGGUGUGGACAGCUGAGAUUGUGGUGUUGACAUCUGAUAUUGUGAUUUGGACAGCUGAGAUUGUGACUUGGACAGCUGAGAUUGUGCUGUGGACAGCUAAAAUUGUGGUGUGGAAUAAUGAUAUUGUGGUGUUGACAACAUAUUGUGGUGUGCACAUGUGAUAUUGUGGUGUGAUGGUUUAAAGUAGCAAAGGUAAAGAACGUUUGACAGCUUAGAUUUUGGUGUGGACAGCUGAUAUUGUGGUGUGGACAGCUGAGAUUGUCAUGUGGACUACUUAUAUUGUGGCUUGCAGAGCUGAUAUUGUGGUGUGAUGGUUUAAAGUACUAAAGAUUUAUUCCUUACUACCUUCCUGUCAACUAUAUCUUCCACAGCAUGAUUUAAUCUAGUCCCAAUCAUUGACUCUGGUUACCUCACCAGACGGUCCGUCCACAGAGUCACAAGCAACAGAUACUAAAACUCGGCAAAGUACAUGUACUUCAGUCUUCCAGAGGAUAUUGUUAACAAUGAUGAUUUGAUGUAAAAAAGAAAAUGUAUUUGAAUAGCUAUAUUUCUCUUGUGUCACUUGGGUGUCAAAGGUCAUUUUAGAGAUUGUCCGGGCUGUAACUUUGUAACGCAUAAACGGGCUUAAAUGUUUGCCUCAGCUAGACAGUGUUGUGUUGAACUCCCAGUCCUUUUGACCGCUGGUGGGCUCGACAUGUUUCCUGUGGGCAUUUAGUUUAUAUUGCAUAUACUUCAAGUAGAUACACAUUUUAGAAUACCAGUAGAUAACCAAAUAAGAAAGAAAACAUUUUUUUAUUUUACAUAAUAGCAAAAUCUGGAAAAUUUUAACUUCAAUUUUCACUGUUAUAUUAUUAUAUAAUCACUUAUGAUGAGUAUGAAUGCAAUAUAGACACUGUAGACAAUUAAUCCCGCAUUUUUAUUCAUAUGAAGAUACAAUAUCUUGUUAUCUAUUAUUGUCAAUCAUUGGUAUGUAAGAUUUUUGCCAUAGGUUUGAAUAGCUGACAAGCAUGGUAGAAAUUAUUAUUAACCAUUAACGGGCUAAAUUUCUAUAAUUAACUUGUCCAUCUUUCAAUAUGGACAGUAUCAUUAAAUGAAAGGGAUGGUUACCAAAACAUACUGACUGAAUGCAAACAGUGAAGAUCUUGAUCAGGCUAUACGGAUGUGCAGGCUGAUCAUGAUCUACACUGUUCACAAAGGCAGAAUCAAUCGUGUCCAGCAUGAUAAGGGUUAAAUCCGUUGUUUUUACUGCCUCCUUUUUUGGCUCAUUAUUGUACAAGUACAUAUACAGCAUUGCUUUUCUAACCAUGUAAUAAUGCAUAUGAUUACUUUUCAAAAUAACGAAGCUUUUUCUCCUCUCUCACCAUACUUUAAAUAAGUUCAGUUUUAGAAAGUGUUUUGGGGCAAAUUAUAUUCAAAUCAAUGUAGUCAAUGAAUGUGUGCAAUUUCAGGUGAAUGGCUCAAGCAGUUUUAUAUCAAAUUAUAUAGUUAAUUUUGUCCUCUGUGCAUCCUAGAAAGUGUGACAUUUUAUAUGAAGGGUAGUUUUCAACUGUGUUUUAUUUUUUCAAACCAAGCAUUAUUGUAACAGCUUUAAUUAUUUAUGUAAGUCAAACUCUGCACAUUUAAAGGAAAAUACUUUUUUUCAUAAACUACAUUUUAUUCUUACCAAUGUGUCAAAUCUUGUGAUGGAACCCCCUUCACAAAUAAAUAUGAAAA
rnacentral:lncRNA from 1 species